GCGGCCGGGGAAGAGGACGAGCAGGAAGAAGCUGCGCGCGGAGCGGCGGUGCCAGCGGCGCCUUCCCGGGGGGCGGCGGGGACGGAGCCCGCGGGUGUCCGGCCGCGGUGUCCCCCGUGUCCCCACGUGCAGGCUCCUCUGUGUUGCUCUCUGAAAGCAUUUCAAGCUCGACACACAGAAGCUGUUUCUCAGUGAGCAGCUGUGGGGCAUUUGGCUGAUGGUUUUGACAGCAGAGAUGAAUUGAGGACGUGGCAUCUGCAGUCCUGACCUGGAAUUUGAACCCUUCAGUGCCUCUCCCUCCUCCCAGAUGGAGAGGAGGCGGAAGAUCUCGGAAUCUUCUGAUUGCCAUCGAUCUGAUUUUGCUGAGCACUGGCCUCGUAUCACGUCUGUGUGUUCCUUGAGAGAUGAUUUCAAUCUGAAAAAAAACCCUGUAAGUAUCUUGAGAGCUGGAAAUCAGAUGCUCUGAUCUAACAUUUCUCCAGCAUUUAGCCAUUACCUCUACCACGAGCACCUCAUUUAAAAAAAAAACAAACCAAACAUGAAGCAUAAGGAAAACUGUGAGAUAACAUUGCUGAUUUUGAGCCCUGACUUACAUGAUUUCCUUUCUGAUAUUUUUGGAGGGAAGAGGGAAUUGGAUCAUAUUUUUGUCUUUCCCCCCCCCCCCCCACAUCUGUAAGGACUAGACAUUUUUUUAACAGAGGGGAAAAUAAAAUAAAUUGAGAUCUCCAGGUGGUAACAUGGCUGAAAGAAAACAUGAAUACUUGGAAAUUCAUGCUCAUUAGUACUGGCACAGAUGUGACUCUGUAGAGCUGAAGCUAACCCGAACCAGGAUAUAGAGAUAAGAACUGCACAUAAUUGAAGCCCUGAUUAAUUAAAAGCAGUUUCUUGGCACAGACAAUGAUGGAGCACCCUUGAGUGGAUCUGCACAUGUCCCUGUGGACGUGUGCCCCAGGCCCUGCUGCCUGUGCUGGGGUGAGGCUUUGUGGGGGUGGGCAAGGGGUAGAAAAGUGGCUUUGUCAAGGAAGCCAAGCCAAGAGGAGCAGUGAGCCCCCUCUCCACUGCAGCCUCAGGUGCUUCUCCAGGGGCCCCACGCUUGGAGCAGCUGCUGGAGGAAGUGUGGCAUCAGGAUGGGAAUCCUGUGCACACAGGGGAAUGUCCUUUUCAUGCAGAGUCAUAAACAAACCCCUGAAAGAGUAGGGGAUGGAUCCAGCAGCCCUGGGGAGGCCCCACACUGCUGGAACCAACAGCUUCAUGGAACAUUUUCCUGGAGUCCAAUAGUGGUUUUCUAGACUUAAAAACUGAUCACAUUUCCUUUCCUCCCUCCCUCCCAAAGGCUUUUUUGUCAUCUGUGUCCAAAACCUCCAGCAGAAACUCCAUGAUUGGAGCAAUUUGGUCCAAUGCCAUGAGAAGGGACUGCUCCGCACACUUUAGGAAGAGCAAAAAGGAGAAAGAAAAGAAGGUAGAGCCCUCUGUGCUGUGCCUGAUCACUGAUCAAAGCCAGCUGCCUCCUGUGCUGGCUUGAGGACGUGACAGAUGUCUGUAGCCUUUACAGGUGCAGGGCCUGCAUUUCAUCAGUCUUUUUUCCACGGAUGACCUGGGGUGUGGAUUAUUAGCAGCUCAGAUUUCUUUGGCCAAGGUGCUUUGUUGUGUACACAUCCGGGUUAAAUCUAAGCAAUAUUUCUGAUCCAUGUAGGCUUCUGACUCAGUCCUGCAUCUUUGGUGUUUACAAAAUGAUCAGAGUUUGAACUCUCCCUGUUGUUUCUUAAAUGUCAGCAGAAUUUUUUUUUUUUUUAAUAAAACAAUGCAGCCUUCCCCUGCAGUGUUUGUGACCAAGAAACUGUGGCAUCACAAGAGCAUGAGGAAAUACUGGCUGAUUAAAACCAGGGUAAGAAAUGACAGCGAAAGUGUUUGUCUUCUUUCUUUUUUUUUUCCCCUCAUUUCAGAAUUCACAAUGAAGUGGCUGGUAAAAUGGGACCAGCUGGUUCAGCCCCACUUGGGCUGAAUACGAUGUUUAAUGUGCUGAAACUACUUCCACUGGCAAACUUUAGUGUGAUAAUUUAAUUUCUCAUGUAAAGCACAUCUCACAGCAUGGCUUUUUCCCUACCUCCUUCUGUUUUGACAAAGUAAAGUAAGUUUGGGCUAUUGUUGGUUUUCUUUGCCUUGUUUUUUGUCUUUUUCCUGCCUCUCAUUAAUAUACAAGUGGUAUUAAAUAGUAAUGAUGCCAGUAUUGACCUCUGCUGUGCCUUGCUGUUGGCUCAUUUUUGCUUCAAGGAGCAGAUGUUCUCUGUCUUUGUUUUCUGUUGCCAAAUGGGGACUUUGCCCCUUUAACCUUUGAUAAGGUGCUUUAAUAAUCUCUGAUGUGAGAUUUUAUCAAAAGCCAAGUAAAUCAUACCUGCCUGGCAGCUUCUUUUAAACAUUCCCAUCGUGGUUUACAGCAGCUCAAGAAAGUGCAGUUUCCUCUGUGUUUUUGCAGGCUGUAUUUAUCCCCUGCACCCAGCUGAGCAUCCUCCAUGGAGGGAGCACCCACGGCAGGGAUCCUGGGGUUCUGCUCCUGGAUGAUGCUCCAGCACCAGACCCUUGCCAGCCUCCAGCAGUCAAACAGGGUGAUGUUGUCUGUCAGGGAUCUGUGGGUCUGACUAGACUCGCCUGGACCCCCUUUUCCAUCAGUUGCUGAGGUGGAAUGGGGAGGUGGUGUCUACACAGCUGCUGCUGGGGUCUUGGUGCUUGUUCCCUUGCUGUGUGCCCAGAGAGGAGCUCCUGGCUGCUUUGGCACCAGCAUUUAAACACCACUGUGCUAUAAAGCUGCUCCAACCCUUCCUAUGAAGAGGCACCCUCACAACAUCUGUCUCUUCCUCAUCCCUUUUGCAGCAUUUCAUACUUUGUUCCUGCACUUGGCCACCCCAAAAGCCACAAGGGAAAGUCCACUUCCCAGUUUCUAUUUGUUUUUUUUUUUGCCCAGAACCCUACAUGACUUGUACAAGCAGCCACCAUCCCUGGGGUGGGUAGGCUGAGUUGUACCUCAGGUGGAAGCAUGCCUGGCUCUGGGAAGCCUUGUGGGCAGUUUGGGAAGGUGGCAUUUUGUGUCUGAGAAUGCCUGUGUGCUCUCCCAUGGCCUCUUGCAGCAUUCUGCUUCUGCUGAACCCCUCUUGGAUUUACACACAUCUCUGCAAAACUGCAUUGGAUUUGUUAUUCCCGCCCUGCCUUUGCUCUCUUGGCCUGUCACAUCCUCACGGUGUCACAUGAGGGGGAAACAUUUCAUCAAGCCCCUUUGUUCUGCUGGUCUGGGGCAGCAGGCACAGCACAGCUGCUCUUUGUUACUGGCCACCACACAGAAAAUAAAACAAUCACAGGGGCCUUGGUGAGGCAGCAGCCUCUGCCACCCUCUCCUCAGUGCCACUGCCCAGCCUGUGUGGGAACCACCUCCUUCCCCCUCCAGACCUGGAAGUUCACCUGUGCUGACAACACCUGCACUGGGGACAAGCCUCGUGCUUUAUGUUCCUUGUGUCCUUCUCCCUUUGCAGGGCUUCGUGUCCCUCAGCCACAUCCCACCACACUGAGCCUGGGCAUUCCCAAAUAUUUCCCACUUCCUUUGGCAGGGGUGUGCCCUGGGCAGAGCUGCUCCUGCAGUGUGGAUGGCAGGGACACAACCCCAUCCCCACCACCAUGGCCUUUGGUCCCAAGCACAGCCAGCUUUUCUGUGCUGGGGUUUUCCCAAGGCUGGAGCCUGUAAAUAAUCCAGGAGUGUCUCCUCCUGCCCAGCUCUGCACUCUGCUCCCUCUCUUUGUUUCAGAGUGAGCUGUGUGGUUCUGCCAGCCAGAGCUGCAGCCACCUGAUACAGGCUCCCUUGGGAUGAGCCUCCAACACUGACUUCCCAAAUUAGUCUGGAGCGAUGGGUGCAGCCGAGCUGAGCCAGCAAUCCUAUUCCAGCUGCUGGCACGUGCCAAAACAUCUGCCUGCCUGUGCUGUGCUUGUUGAUGGAGCUGUGAGCAGCUCCCAGCAUGUCAUUUGAGAAUAUAAAUUGAGUUCCUCUGAGCUGGAACCACCUGCUUCAGAUAAUUUCUCUGGCAAGGAGUCUUCUUUUUCAUCAUCCAGGAUUUUCCUGCUUUCCUCUGCUGCCAGCUCUGUGCAGUAGCUGCGGGGGUUGGUACUGAUGGGUGGGGAUUUAGGUGAAUCCAGAGGGGAAAUGUCCUGCUGCCAAAGCACAGCAGAGGGCAAAUGUGCUGUUUAAACCACAGAAUUUUAGAAUCCCUGACUGGUUUGAGUUGAAAGGGACCUUUAAAGUUCAUCUAGUCCAAACCCCUGCCAUGGACAGGGACAGCUUUUGGUAUAUUGAGUUUCUCAAGGCCAACCUGGCCUUGAACACUUCCAGGGAUGGGGCACCCUCAGCUUUUUGAGAUGCCAGGCACUUGAUCCCACUAAGGCUGGUGGGAUGCACAAGCAGGGAAACAAACAGCUCCCUGGGAAAACAGGUGGCUUUUGCAAGGAGCAAAAUGACCUGAGCAAACCUGGAAACCAGGGGUGUGGGAGUGAAGGAUACUGCUGCUCCCAGCUUCCCUUUUCUAUCCCUAGGGUGACAUGCAGCCAGCCCUCCAGGUCUGUCCCUGUCCCUUCUCCUGCCCCAGCAGUAUCCAUUAGCUGAGUAUGUAAUUAGGAUCCCCUAAACACAGCUAAAUUGUUGUCCAUUGAAACAAAGCUGAAUCCCACCCAGAAUUAUGCCAACCAGGCACUUAAAACUUGAGCAAAUGGGGAAAAGUGGUUUAUAUGGGAAACAGGUGUAACAUCAGCAAAGUGCUCUCAGAGCUGCAGGUGAGCUGCCCUGCAAGGGACCAGGUGUGCCCAACACCACCUCUCAUCUCCUCGGGGAUAACCGCUCUGCAAUGGUGUGUUUUCCCCGUUGGAAAAGCAAAAAUAAACCAAACCCAAGCCCCUGAGCAGGGCUGGGUGGUUUGAUCUCCUUGAGGGGUUGGAUGUGAGUGUGUUGCCAUAACAGUCUCACAGCAGAGGAGGCUCUGAAACAUCUCUCCUGCUCCCAGUCCAAGCUAGCAGGAGGAAUGAGGAUUGCUGAGCCCAGAGGCAGUGGCUCCCCCAAGAAAAAACUCCUGGAAAGCCCCUGAUUUACAUACACCAAGACAUGCAAAGGCUGUUUCAAUGGAGUAAUGGAUGCCUGGAGCUGCCAGGAGGUGAGACCCCUCUGGUGGGACUGGCUGGGAUGUGGGGGUGGAUGGAGGAGGCUGUCAGGGUUCCUCAUAUCCCUGUACCCCCAAAUGCAGCCCUGCACUCAGCAGAUGCACCUGGUAGUAGUGGGAAGUGCUGUAAUGUGGUGUUCCACAUUCUCCUAAAGGGCUUUCCCCCAGCAUUUAAAAGUAAAACCCACAAAAUCCCACAGGGAGGGAAACGAUCACACAUUAAUUCUUCCCAUUUCUCCAUUUCUUUCCCAUUCCCUGCAUCCCACUGCUCCUCCUCCCCUCCCUGCAGCCAGAUUUGAGUGUGUUUUCCCAGGAUUUGUGCCCAGCAUUGGCAUUAAGUAAACUCUCCCCAGCAGCAUCUGCCUUUGCAGGACCUCACCCUUGGACAGCGGGAUGAAGCUGUGGAAAGGGACAAAUGCUUGGAGCGACCUGGGGGUCCCUGGGGAGAGACAUCCCUCCAGGGCAUAAGCUGCUGUGAAUGUGGGAGCAUGAGGAGUGGAGGAAGGAUGGAUGGAUUGCAGCAGAGGAACAGGGAGCUGGGGCUGGUCUGCUGCUGCCACUGAAGCUGCCACCAAACAUCAGCUCCAUGUGCACCUCCUGACACUCAGCAGGCUUUUGAGCUCCAAAAGAGGUUUCUGAAAACAAAGCACCCUCUGCUCUCCUCAAAUCCCAGGACUUUGCAAGUUUGUGGGCACACAGGGAGCUGGUUCAGACCUGGCUGUGGGCACUGGCACCAACUAACUGCACUUGGAGCCUGGUCCUGCUGGCACCAAAAGAGAGACACCUCCAGACACAACGGCAGCUGACCUGGCCUUCCCUCUGGAAGCAGCUCUCUUCCCACCAAUGAUGGAGACAGUUGAGAGCAACCACACCUCUGACUGAGGUGUCCCAGAUGAAGUGUCAGCCAGAGGCUAUAAUCCAAAAUCAUACAGACUGAGACAUUUCAGCACUGACAGUCCACAUGCACCCAGAUCUCGUUCACAAUGUCAGUAGUGUCACAGGCAGGACUGACAGAGCUGCAAAGGCAGAUUCAAGGCAUCUGAGUUUUCCCUUGUUUUUUGGCACCAAUGCUUAUCACUGAUUCUAAUAAUUCUCCCUGGGUGCUUUUGCUUCACAGUUUGCUCAGUUAUGGAAGAUCAAGAGAGGAACUGUUCGUGGAUAGCUCCCAUACCCCCACAUCUUUUCUCCUCAUCCAGUCUCCUGCAAGAUCCCCUCAACCAACCCAAUUCACUCUGGUUUUAUUACACCAAAGCACCAGGUUAACCACCAAUCACAGAGUUACAGGAUCAUUUAGGCUGGAAAAGAUACUUAAGAUCCUGCACUGCUGAGUCCACCAACAACACAUAUCCUCAAGUGCCACAUCUACACAUCUUUUCAAUACCUCCCAGGACCGUGACUCUACCACUUCCUUGGACAGCCUGUUCUGGUGCUUGACAACACUUUUGGGGAAGAAAUUUUCCCAAAUACCUAAGGCCAUGAUUUAUCUGAUAUUAGCUGUCAUCUGCAGCCAAGGCCCAUCGCAUGAGGCUCUGUACAAACACAGUCAGAGAGACUUUUCCCCAAAGAUUUUUCAAGCUAAACAGAGAAGACAGCUGAAUAAAUUGCACACAGACUCUCUUUAAAGAACCUGUCAAGCACCCUUUUGUAAAACCAGCUGUACUAAAAUAGGGAAAGACCACUGUAAAAAUCAUAUUCCACCUCUUUUGCUACAUUCCUUGAUACAAAGCAGCUAUGUUUUGGCUCUGUCUCAUAAUUACUGUCAUUAUAAUGUCUGUGUAUCACUUUAAAUAAUCUGCUUCCAACAACAGUAUGAGAUUACACAGAUCUGUCCUAUAAAGAGGCACUGGCACACAUAUAAUAAUGGGUGUGAGUCAAAUUCUUGGCUCACAGCCUAUGAGCAUCACCUCCCCCCCAGUGCAAACUGCAGCAUGGUUUAUUUAGGCAUCCUUCCACAGGUAGUGUGGAGCAGUACACACCACACACAACCAUUUCAGCUCCAAAGCUGCAUGCAUGGAUGCUCAAAGGUGUACAGGCAAGCAGACCACAAGGGUGAUCUGCAGUGGAGUGGAAAGGGAGUCGCCUCCUCUACCACAACCAUCUCACCGUGUUCAUCUCCAUCCCUGAUGUACAACCCAAGCAGUGACUACAGAAACUGCUCCAAGAAACGUACAGCAAGCUGUUAAUUCUGCUCCUUGAUGUGAUUACCGGAGCAAUGAAGAGAUAACACCACAUCGCAUUAACAACCUUUAUUAGGGUCUUCUCACAGCGGAAUUGCUUCCCUCCCUGAUAAAAGAAACCAACAGGAUGUUGCUUGGAAGGGACCUUUCAAUGCAGAGCUUCCUGCAUCUUUCAUCACAGCCGUCCCCUGACACGUUAUUCAGCGGCUGGCCAGGAAAGCAGGACGGCGGCUCGUGCUCCCAGCCCCCCCUGGGUCCAUGCCAGAACCAGACUAUAGCUGCUUGUGCUCCCAACUGGAGGCUGCUCCUAUUCCUUAGUAACUGCACGUGCUCUGCCAGCGCUCCACGGCUGGCAGCUGCUGCUCCAGCACACAGCAGCGGGGUGUGAAAGCUCCUUCUCCAGCCCUUAUGCAAGAGAGAUUAGGGAGUCCUGGCAUAGGACACAGAUGCUGUGAUGGUCACCAGUAGUCUCCCGUCCUCCCCACAGCUGUCAGGUAACGUGUGGUGUGCUCAGAAACCCAGUAGCAGCCCUGUCCUGCUCUUCCAGCAAUGGCAUUGCUGAAUCCCAACCACCCUUUGUUAAAUGAAGUAACACAAAACCGCACUAUAAUCAAUGAUGUUAUUCAUCUGCCCAAGAUCCUCUCUCCUUUGGGGACAAGAAGCAGCAUCUCAGUGACAGUACAGACUCUGAAAUGCAGGGAAAUGACCAUCUCCCCAGACUCUGGCCCCACUGGAUUUUCAGAGGAUGGCAGCUCAGCUCCUAUCAUCAUGGCACCUACUGGUGGACCAACUCUUAAGGUGAGGGUGCUUCAAAUUUCAGUCUUAGUCUGGUGAGACUGGUGAUUUCAGCACCAAAUUCAACAGUGUGGAAAAAUGUUAUUUCCCAGUCUACACAGCUGCACGGCCAAGCUGCUGCAUAGCAAUUGUCAGGCUUUUAAGGCAGGGUGGCUGCACUUCAAGAAUAAGUAAACUAACACUUAACUAGUAUGUAAAUAUGUCUGCAACCCUUCUGUGAGUCCAAGAUAUUAAGGCUAAUACCUCCAACAACUCAACAGAUGUGACACUACAAGUGAUUGUGUCUGUCCCUACCAAUAACUCUGUAAAGAGAUAAAAAAUACUCCCAGAAAUAUCAGGGAUGAGCACGAGUCCAUAUCUGGCAUAAGAAGUGUAACUUACAGGCCUUAUUAGCUUAGCUGCUCCCAUGGACCUUGAGGUUUUAUGAAUAUGAAAUUGAGGGGAAAACUGUAAGAUUCUGAUGCAUUUGUUUUUUAACACAGACCAUUCAAAACUUUAGAUAGCACAGUCCUGUGUGCAAUUACCCAGAUGUACAUGGCAAGUCAGGAUUAUUGAAGAAUGCUUCUGUGCCAUAAAUAAACAAAAAUACACAUGGAAGACUGAUAAAAAUUUUAAUGCAUUUUACCUGUUUGUAGUAGAGAAAUGUCCGGCUUCUCAUCACAGUCAGUUGCCUCUGCUGAUUACAAAUAUAAACAAGAAAUCUCAUUACUUUUACUGAAUAUGGGAAUGGGAUUAAAAAGCUACAGACUGUGAAGUGAUUUUGCAUUUUCUAUCCACUUUCCUCAGCUGCAAAUUCGCAAGUGCUCUGUUAAAAACUCACUGCUUGGAGGAAAAGGUCAUAUAAUAAAAAUGCAAACUUGGAAGAGGGAGUUGGGUAUUAAGAAGCAAUUGUGCCAGUAAUGGGAUGGAGUAACACUUGUUCUUUUUAAGGUUUCAGGAUGUCUGUAUGAUAACAGGAGUUGUGAUCACUUGAUAAAGUCCCAAGAAAAGUCCCCAGCGGUCCUUAGAGGAAGAGCUUUGCAGGCUGGAACUCCCCCCACCGACAGUCAUCCCAUGCCUGCAGGGAAAGGAACACUCCCAUUUCUGCACACAAACUUCCCAUGACCACAGGCAAGCUCAUUUUGCAGGGGACAGAUUUACUAGGGCAGAGUGUCUUCAAAAAUGCAGGUGGGUGCCCAGUGUAAUUAAAAAAGCACGUGACCACACUGGCAAUUAAUGUGUAUAUACACACAUGCUUUCAACCCACAGCUUAUGCAAGAGCAUUUGACUUAAUUUGGCCCACGGUGAAGGGAGGCUAAAAGCCUAAUUUGUUCAUUUUGUGUUUGCCAGAGGCCAAGGGAAUGCACAGACAUAGCUUGCCUCACUCAGCAGAUGUGCAGGGACUUGUUAGGCUGUAGUACCUGGGACAUGCAUGUGAACCCUGAGUAAAUCAAAGGUGUGUAACAGGAAAUCCGUGCCUAACCUAAACAAGCCCUAUUCAAAAUCCUAUUACCUUUGUCUUUUGGCACUGCAGCAUGAUAUUUAAGGCCUUUGAAGCACAAUGAGAUCUUUGAGGGCACUUCAGCAAAUGAGGUGUGGUCAUACAGGACAAGCCCAUUAUCACUGAAUCACAGAAUAGUUUGGGUUGGAAGGGAUCUUAAAGGUCACCCAGUCCAACCCUCCUGAAAUUAGCUGGGAGAGAGCUUCAACUAGAUCAGGCUGCUCAGAGCCCUGACCUUGAAUAAUUCCAGGGAUGGGACAUCCAGCAUCUCUCUGAGCAGCCUGUGCCAGUGUUUCAGCACCCUCAUUGUAAAAAAUUCUUCCUUACAUCUAAUCUAAAUCAACCAUGUUGUAGUUUAAAAUGUCCUAUGAACUACCUUGUACAAGGUCUGUGUGGUGGAUGUGUAUCUGCUCACAUCCAUUCACUGCACAAUAUCCACAGGGAUCAAAACCAAGGCUGCAGAUAAAUUAAGCAACUCAGCUCACCUCCCACUCGAGACUAAGCUAACUGUCCUGAUCAUCUUUAUCAUGGCUCUGCAUACGAGGAUGUUCAGUUGUUGCCUUCAUGAUGAUAAUGUCUAAUCCAGCUCCUAAACUACAUGAGUUUUCUAAUGUAAUCCAUCAACCCUUGUCUCCAUCCCUGGUCCAAGAGACUGCUGUCUCUCCCACAUGCCUGGAUGUCAGGUUGGUUUUUAGCUAUAUACUCUCAGUUCUGCAAAAUUAAUUGAACCAAAGAAAACAUAAACAAACCCUAGUAUCAGGCAGCUUUCUCCCACAAAAGGUUUAAAUGCAAAGCCCUGAUAAAUUCAUGGCACAGACCUACAAGUGAGUCGGUGCCUGGAAUUGAGACCUUUCUCUGCUUUCUGUGAGAAUGUGGCACCCUGAGCAGGAACAAAUUCAGUGCCUGGUACAGCUCACUGUGAAAACCUUGAAUUCUGGAAGGGACAGGGGGCUCACUAAGUGGGAAGGGAUCACCUAGGCUGGUUUGAAUGUGGACCAGACUAACAGUGGUGGAAGGACUGGAUGUGCAAGGGAGGAGACAGCAUGGUGCAAUGAGAAGCCAAAAGUCAGCCAAUACACGGAUUAAAAAUUCAUGUCAGUCUGAGGUCAACUUCCAGCAAUGCUGUGAAGAACUACCUGCACCAGGUGAGUCUGUGGCACAGAAACUCAGCAUACAAGGGACAAAGCUGCCCCUUGGGUAGAAGGGAGCCAAGCUAUGAAAAUGGGGGAAGCCAGAUCUGAGUGCUGGCAGUGGACUGGAGAGCCUCCCCUCUGUGAAUAUCAGGGGUGGUGCCAAUGGGCUGCCCACUGUAGUGACAGCUUUUCUAGAAAUCUCUGCAGCAAUUUGUGAAGUAGCUCCAGAGAUGUGGUCACCUUUCUGCCUAACUGCUCUUCCUACACCAGAGGAAAGCAAUAAUACAGAAAGAAACAAAUGGAAACAAGGAACUUCCAGAAGGUAAGGACUGUAGAGUCCUGUCCUGUCUCCAACUCUACAGAACCUCUACAGAAGUUACCUGGCCAUUUUAAUCUGGCCAAAGACUGAUAAAUGAGGUUCAGUUCUCCACCAAUUGUUCCAGUCUCAUUCCUCAUGCCAGCACAAAUGUUUAUACAGUCACCAAGAUCAGAUCCAGUUAAAAACUGACAACAUGGCCACAGGAAUGCCUGUGCCAGCACUAGAAAGGGAGUGGGAGCACAGCAGAUGCCCAAAGAGCUACUCACUCUUCCCAGCAGCUGCCAGGAUUUGUUUUAUGAAACUGGAUGUGUAACUGCACCUCCAGGUGAAGUACAACACAGGGGAAUGGCAAACACCUCGACCUCCUAACAUGGAUAUAAACCACCAGUCUCUUACAUGUCAUUCCAAGAAGAAAGGAAGGUUUGCCUUUGACAACCACACCCACAGGCUGCCAGCCAAACCUCACUGUCUUGGGCCAGCUUUCAAGACAAGGCAAGCAGGAAGAGAGCCUACUGUGGGAACUCAGAGCCUCUUCUCUGUCCUUUGCUUAGACAGAGUGCACAGCUCUUGCAGAAUAAUGCUGGUAGUAAUUUCCUUAGAUUCCCCCCAAAUUGUGCAGCUUCUGAGGUACAUGUCUGUCUGUUAUGUGUACACUUGCUGCUUUCCUGGAAAGAAGCACACACAUGCUCAGGGCUGGGAAGCUGAAUACAGCAGUUACUAUUUUUAUUUUAUUUUAUCUAAAAUACUGGCCACAAACACACUGUACACACGCUGGACUUCAUCCUACAUCUUUCCUGGCCCUGUGUGUAUUGCUAAGAAAAAAUCAACCCAAUCUCUUGCAGCACAUAGAUGUUGUGUCAAAAGCAGAAACCAGGGAAUCAGAAGGCUGAAGAAAAACAGAAAGAAGAAAAAAAAUUCCUGCAAAACAAUGGAAGCUACA